rnacentral:tRNA from 1 species
AGAGAGGUAAGUUAAGGUUUGGAAACUGUGUGGUUCAUGUUCACAUAAUGCGGUUUGCUCUCUCUU